UUCAAUAGCGUUGUCCGCAAUUGACGUCACGAAAAUUCGACCCCCCGCCAAGACUCAGACAAACAUUGGCAACAUUUAAUAUAAAUAGUAUUACGAUUAAGAGCUUCCUGUGAGUUAGUUUGAUCGUUUGUUUACAGUUUAUUUGUGGGAAAUCAUACACACCUUGUACUUUUCGCUUUACCUGAAGUGCCAGUGCAAAAUAUUUUUGCUUUGGAAGUAGAAAUACACACUUUUUCGUCACUUUAGUAUCGACUGUCAUGUCGUUUCUAUCAUAGGCAGUGUCUACUGUGUUAUAAUAGUCCAUGGUUUGGCGUAACUGUUGCUAUAAAGAAAGGGUAUGCAAAAGAAAGGACGAUAGAAAGUCUGUAGUAGCAGAUAUUUAACGAAAAAAUCUCGUAGUCGUACCAGAUUUAAUUCGUAGCCCAAGCGAAUCAGUU
rnacentral:lncRNA from 1 species